rnacentral:pre_miRNA from 1 species
CGAAUGUUUGUAAGUAUGGAUGGAUGGAUGGAUGUUUGUUACUCUUUCACGUAAAAACUACUGGAUGGAUUUUGAUGUGUUAUUCCGGGAGUCCAGUUAUCUCCAUUCCAAAUUUCAUCCAAAUCCAUCCUGAAAGUUUUACGUAAAAGAGUAACAAACAUCCAUCCAUCCAUCCACCCAUACUUACAAACAUUCG